AACUAAACCGGCCAGUGAUGAACGACGUUGUUAUUCCGUGCCAGAUCUCUUUACGAGAGUCGCGUGACAUACCAUCAUGCGACUGAAGGGCGCUGUGGAUCAAAACCCGCGUCUCAACCACCACAUGGGGUCUUUUGCCAAUCUGAGGCUGGUUUAGUUGACUACAGUUGGUAUUUAGUCAAGUCAGGACAUUUUGUCAAGUGCAUAGUUAGAAUUUGGUAAGGCAGUAUAGUGGAGGCUGAUUACCAGUCAAGUAAAUGGACCGAGAAGAGAGACGUGGAUAUAUCUCUGGAAGGAAGGGGGAUUGGAGUAGAGAAGUCGAGCCAACAAACAAAUGGAUUCGACAGG
rnacentral:misc_RNA from 1 species